AGCUCCAAUAGCGUAUAUUAAAGUUGUUGCAGUUAAAAAGCUCGUAGUUGAACCUUGGGCCUGGCUGGCCGGUCUGCCUCACCGCAUGCACUGGUCCGGCCGGGCCUUUCCCUCUGGGGAGCCGCAUGCCCUUCACUGGGUGUGUCGGGGAACCAGGACUUUUACUGUGAAAAAAUUAGAGUGUUCAAAGCAGGCAUAUGCUCGAAUACAUUAGCAUGGAAUAAUAGAAUAGGACGUCGCGGUUCUAUUUUGUUGGUUUCUAGGACCGCCGUAAUGAUUAAUAGGGACAGUCGGGGGCAUCAGUAUUCAAUCGUCAGAGGUGAAAUUCUUGGAUCGAUUGAAGACUAACUACUGCGAAAGCAUUUGCCAAGGAUGUUUUCA
rnacentral:rRNA from 1 species